UUGGGUUGUUUGGAAGCCAGCCCUUAAGGGGGGGGGUACUGUUAGGAUGCCUGGGUCGUCGACCCAGGGUUUUUGAGUUUUUGAUAUUAUUUAUACUUCCUAGUUUUUGGUUUCUUUGAGUUCCGUCUUAUGGCUUAUGUCUCUGUCGUCUUUAGUUGCUCUGUCUCCCCUAUCACCUGCAUCCCCUUGUCUAGUUCGCGUCUAUGUGUAUCUUAAGUUCCUAUAUCCCCGUGUUCAGUCAGUGUUUGUGUCUGCCCUGUUCCCACGUCUCUGUUCCCUUUUGUGUUCAGUUUAUGCUUCUUUGGUCUCGUCAGUUCUGAUUUGCCCCAGCUGUGUUUCCCUCCUGUUACCCAUUCCCUGAUUGCGCCCUCUGUGUAUUUAAGCCCUGUGUUUCUCUGUGUCCGUGUCGCGAUCUACCGUUUUCCUAGCUGUGUGUUCUGUCAUUCCUCCAGUUUAAGUUUGUUUUGAGUUUUUUUUUUUUCAGUUAUAUUUUUGAGUACCAAAGUAAAGCCUUUUUGAGUUCACCUCUGUCUCCGGAGUCUGCACCUUGGGUCCUAUUCCUGCCUGCACACAGCCACACCUAACAAUUUGUUGUCUCCCUCACUUUGCUGAAGAGCGCGAGCAUGUUGGAGGAGAAUUCUCAUUUGGCCUGCAUUCAAUCAUCUCCUAUUGUAAGACCCAAUGAAAGCUCCACUGAUGCUAAAACAUGAAGCUAUGGCUCUGUUUUGUGGUGCAAGCAGCAAAGCAGAUCAAAUUCUCAGGCAAAGAAGAAAUGCAGAGUUUGUCUCCCUGCAAACCCUUAUGUCCCAGAAUUAAGUUUGUUUAAACAUAGUGAUGUUAAAAUGUCACGUGCGACGGCUUAUUAUCGCUUGUGUCCUGCUUUAAACCUUCUCUUCAUCAUUCUGCUCUUUAAAUCUAGUCUCUUCAUUUCUUCAUCUUUAUUCCCAAUUUUCAUUUUCUUGAUUAUGUCUCCAUUCAGCUCCUCCCCCCCAUCACCUUCUCUGGCAGGCGUUAGUCUAAAUGAGGGUGAUUUAUUAUCGCGUUUCUCCUUUCCUACUGAAGCACCAUUACUGCAGACGCCUCGCCAGAAACACAAAGGCUCACUAGGAUUUUACAAUUCCCAGCGCACAUACUAAUUCAUAUACAGAAUACAGAAUGAGAUCAUGUAAAGAAGUUCCUACACAGAGCUUCAAAAUACGCCGUUUGCACACAAUGAUGUGCAAGUAUGCAUGCUGGCUGACACACUCUUAU
ensembl:lncRNA